UACGAAGGGUGCAAGCGUUACUCGGAAUUACUGGGCGUAAAGCGUGCGUAGGUGGUUUGUUAAGUCUGAUGUGAAAGCCCUGGGCUCAACCUGGGAACUGCAUUUGUGACUGCAAGGCUAGAGUACGGCAGAGGGGGGUAGAAUUCCACGUGUAGCAGUGAAAUGCGUAGAUAUGUGGAGGAAUACCGAUGGCGAAGGCAGCCCCCUGGGUCGAUACUGACGCUCAUGCACGAAAGCGUGGGGAGCAAACAGG
rnacentral:rRNA from 1 species